UCCCCGUUACCGGGGCAGUCUGAUUAGAAAAAUUCAACUAAUCACAAGGGUUGUGCUCGUUAAAGGACUUAACCUAACAUCUCACGACACGAGCUGACGACGGCCAUGCAUCAUCUGUCACCGAGUUCAAUAAAGCACUCUCGCCUUUCGGCAAAAUUCUCGGGAUGUCAAACCCUGGUAAGGUUUAUCGUUUAUCAUCGAAUUAAAGAACACGCUCCACUACUUGUGCGGGUCCCCGUCAAUUCCUUUAUGUUUUAGCCUUGCGGCCGUACUCCACAGGCGGGAUGCUUAACGCGUUAGCUUCGCUACGGAAGGGGUCGAUACCCCCGACACCUAGUCGACAUCGUUUACGGCGUGGACUAC
rnacentral:misc_RNA from 1 species